GCGUGUGUGUGCGCGUGUGUGUGCGGUUUAUUCCCCAUUACAAAAUGUGAAUGUGUGAAGUGAUCAGUGUUGUGUUGUUGGACAGCUUGGGGAGGAUGUGCUGAGACUGGCCUGUGGAGCAGGUGCUGGAUGCUGCAUUUGAGCCAUUAGGGGGACCCAAGGGUUUCUGCCUCUUGUAAUCAAUUUAAUUGCCUUCUUUUGGCCACUCCUACAGCAUGAGCACUGACUGAGCACCACCUUCUUCUCCUUCAUCAAAGGCAGCUCUCAGUAAAACCAGAAGCACAGCAGCACUUUUUCUGCCUGGGCUGUCUGAAGAGAAUACACUCAAAUCCGGGUCUGGAAACGCCUCUGCCUCUUUGAAGAAGCUUGAAAGCUUGACAAGUAUUUGAAGAUGGAGGUGCAUUUUGAAACAGAACCACUGAUGCUUCGCUUUCUCCGGACUUUCAGAGAACUGCUGAGAUUUGUUUUGUUCACCUAUACAGUGUUAUUUGGUGCCUUGAUCCUUGCUGGAUGGACUACAUACUUUAUUGUUGCUAAAUAAACUAAGACACCAUCUUCCAGACGGUUGCUUUGCCAGCUACUUGGUUUGCCCAGUGCAAUAUGAUUUUGUUUGGACAUUGUUUGUGUGCUGCUUUUUUAAGUAUAUUUUUGUAACCCUACAAACUGGUAAUAUAAUUUUAUUUUUGUUGUGAAUAUAUGAAAUAAAUUGGCCAGCUGACUGUU